ACUUUGGCACCAGCAUGUAUGAUACACGGACACCUCUUCCUAAAAAAACGAAACAGCAGACCAGAAUGGAGUCACUUUUGCUAAACGGCACCAUCAAGUCAAAACUCAAUACCUAGCCUGAUUGGCGUUUCAGCCUCUUCCAGGAGUAGAAUUUUGAACUAGUCUGGGACUUCCUGAUCAAUACAGUGGGGUCAUCUGCCUGGAAGCUGAGCCAAUCAUUGAGCAAUAUAUAUCCACAGCAACACAGGCAUCAACAGCAAAUAUACUGCCUGCUCUGAGCCCGGAAUGGAAAUAAAAGCGAACAGAUGUUCAUGUUUGGAGGAUUUCUGGCUCAUUUUGGUGCUCACAGUCAUUCCGGAUGGCUUAUGAACCAGGUUCCUGUCAACAGAUGCAUGAAACACAACUCUAUUUAUAUUUGAUGUGGCCCUUGGGUCCAUCAGCUCCUAACUCAGCUACUAAUAACUCUUGUAGCCUGAGCAUGUCAGUAAAAUUCUCAGAAUCUCAAUUUCCUUAUCUUGUAAUCUCAUUUUCCUUAUCUUGUAGUAUUGUUUUAAAGAUUACAAAUAAUAUAUUACAGUGUCUACUGCAUAAUAAAUUAUAGC